AUGCUGCUGGUUUAUUACUCGAUUCUUCAAAGCCUGGCUCGCUCACCGGGCAGAAGGAAAACGCUUCCUUACUGCCUGCAGUUCCUUUUGUUGUGUGGCAAAAGGGAUGUGUUGGUUUGGAGAAACGCCUACGCCUCGUGCUGGUCAGAGGCCUUCGCUGGCGUGGAGGUGCAGUGGACCAUAAGCUUGGCUGGUUGGGAUGUUUCCACGUUUUUCAGCCUGGAAGACCAAAGUCCUCUCUAUUAAGCUGAUGAGAUGCCCUGUGUUUGGGAAAAGCCCUCGCGAGCUUAAGGAUCCAGACCCGGGCUUCGUGCUCAAAGCAUUAGCGGCGCAUGAGACAAUAUCCUCUCUCUUGGCAACAAAACGAGCCCAAAUAUCAAACGGCACCGAUUCCUUCUCGGAGAAAAUUACCCAUCGCGUAAAACGUUAAUGGGUAAGCAAUAAAAUUAGGCCAGUCGUUCA
rnacentral:lncRNA from 1 species